rnacentral:rRNA from 1 species
CAGUAGCCGCGGUAAUACGUAGGUGGCAAGCGUUGUCCGGAAUUAUUGGGCGUAAAGGGCUCGCAGGCGGUUUCUUAAGUCUGAUGUGAAAGCCACCGGCUCAACCGGGGAGGGUCAUUGGAAACUGGGAAACUUGAGUGCAGAAGAGGAGAGUGGAAUUCCACGUGUAGCGGUGAAAUGCGUAGAGAUGUGGAGGAACACCAGUGGCGAAGGCGACUCUCUGGUCUGUAACUGACGCUGAGGAGCGAAAGCGUGGGGAGCGAACAGGAUUAGAUACCCCAGUAGUCCCUGUCUCUUAUAC